rnacentral:rRNA from 1 species
AAAUUGAAGAGUUUGAUCAUGGCUCAGAUUGAACGCUGGCGGCAGGCCUAACACAUGCAAGUCGAGCGGAAACGAGUUGUCUGAACCUUCGGGGAACGAUAACGGCGUCGAGCGGCGGACGGGUGAGUAAUGCCUAGGAAAUUGCCCUGAUGUGGGGGAUAACCAUUGGAAACGAUGGCUAAUACCGCAUAACGCCUACGGGCCAAAGAGGGGGACCUUCGGGCCUCUCGCGUCAGGAUAUGCCUAGGUGGGAUUAGCUAGUUGGUGAGGUAAGGGCUCACCAAGGCGACGAUCCCUAGCUGGUCUGAGAGGAUGAUCAGCCACACUGGAACUGAGACACGGUCCAGACUCCUACGGGAGGCAGCAGUGGGGAAUAUUGCACAAUGGGCGCAAGCCUGAUGCAGCCAUGCCGCGUGUGUGAAGAAGGCCUUCGGGUUGUAAAGCACUUUCAGUCGUGAGGAAGGCGGUAAUGUUAAUAGCAUUAUCGUUUGACGUUAGCGACAGAAGAAGCACCGGCUAACUCCGUGCCAGCAGCCGCGGUAAUACGGAGGGUGCGAGCGUUAAUCGGAAUUACUGGGCGUAAAGCGCAUGCAGGUGGUUUGUUAAGUCAGAUGUGAAAGCCCGGGGCUCAACCUCGGAAUAGCAUUUGAAACUGGCAGACUAGAGUACUGUAGAGGGGGGUAGAAUUUCAGGUGUAGCGGUGAAAUGCGUAGAGAUCUGAAGGAAUACCGGUGGCGAAGGCGGCCCCCUGGACAGAUACUGACACUCAGAUGCGAAAGCGUGGGGAGCAAACAGGAUUAGAUACCCUGGUAGUCCACGCCGUAAACGAUGUCUACUUGGAGGUUGUGGCCUUGAGCCGUGGCUUUCGGAGCUAACGCGUUAAGUAGACCGCCUGGGGAGUACGGUCGCAAGAUUAAAACUCAAAUGAAUUGACGGGGGCCCGCACAAGCGGUGGAGCAUGUGGUUUAAUUCGAUGCAACGCGAAGAACCUUACCUACUCUUGACAUCCAGAGAACUUUCCAGAGAUGGAUUGGUGCCUUCGGGAACUCUGAGACAGGUGCUGCAUGGCUGUCGUCAGCUCGUGUUGUGAAAUGUUGGGUUAAGUCCCGCAACGAGCGCAACCCUUAUCCUUGUUUGCCAGCACUUCGGGUGGGAACUCCAGGGAGACUGCCGGUGAUAAACCGGAGGAAGGUGGGGACGACGUCAAGUCAUCAUGGCCCUUACGAGUAGGGCUACACACGUGCUACAAUGGCGCAUACAGAGGGCAGCCAACUUGCGAAAGUGAGCGAAUCCCAAAAAGUGCGUCGUAGUCCGGAUUGGAGUCUGCAACUCGACUCCAUGAAGUCGGAAUCGCUAGUAAUCGUGGAUCAGAAUGCCACGGUGAAUACGUUCCCGGGCCUUGUACACACCGCCCGUCACACCAUGGGAGUGGGCUGCAAAAGAAGUAGGUAGUUUAACCUUCGGGAGGACGCUUACCACUUUGUGGUUCAUGACUGGGGUGAAGUCGUAACAAGGUAGCGCUAGGGGAACCUGGCGCUGGAUCACCUCCUUAUACGA